GUUGAACGCUGGCGGCAUGCCUAAUACAUGCAAGUCGAGCGAACAGAUGAAGCGCUUUCUCGUCUUAAGUUAGCGGCGGGCGGGUGAGUCCCACGUAGCUAACCUACCUAUAAGGCUGACAUACCUUCGGGAGCCCGAAGCUCACACACGUUCUUAUAUUGAACGUCAUGGAUCAUCAGUCAAAGCCCGAUUUGCUGUGCCUAAUACAGGGUACCGCGCCGCAUUAGCUAGUUGGUAAGGUAACGGCUUACCAAGGCAACGAUGCGUAGCCGACCUGAGAGGGUGAUCGGCCACACUGGAACUGAGACACGGUCCAGACUCCUACGGGAGGCAGCAGUAGGGAAUCUUCCGCAAUGGGCGAAAGCCUGACGGAGCAACGCCGCGUGAGUGAUGAAGGUCUUCGGAUCGUAAAACUCUGUUAUUAGGGAAGAACAAAUGUGUAAGUAAAUAUGCACGUCUUGACGGUACCUAAUCAGAAAGCCACGGCUAACUACGUG
rnacentral:rRNA from 1 species